rnacentral:rRNA from 1 species
UACGGAGGGGGUUAGCGUUGUUCGGAAUUACUGGGCGUAAAGCGCACGCAGGCGGUUUGUUAAGCUAGAUGUGAAAGCCCCGGGCUCAACCUGGGAUGGUCAUUUAGAACUGGCAGACUAGAGUCUUGGAGAGGGGAGUGGAAUUCCAGGUGUAGCGGUGAAAUGCGUAGAUAUCUGGAGGAACAUCAGUGGCGAAGGCGACUCCCUGGCCAAAGACUGACGCUCAUGUGCGAAAGUGUGGGUAGCGAACGGG